rnacentral:rRNA from 1 species
GACGAACGCUGGCGGCGUGCCUAAUACAUGCAAGUCGAACGCUGAAGGAGGAGCUUGCUUCUCUGGAUGAGUUGCGAACGGGUGAGUAACGCGUAGGUAACCUGCCUGGUAGCGGGGGAUAACUAUUGGAAACGAUAGCUAAUACCGCAUAAGAGUAGAUGUCGCAUGACAUUUGCUUAAAAGGUGCAAUUGCAUCACUACCAGAUGGACCUGCGUUGUAUUAGCUAGUUGGUGAGGUAACGGCUCACCAAGGCAACGAUACAUAGCCGACCUGAGAGGGGGAUCGGCCACCCGGGGACUGGGACACGGCCCAGACCCCUACGGGGGGCCGAGUUGGGGAAUUUUGGGCAAGGGCGGGAAUUCUGGCCGGGCAACCCCGGGUGGGUGAAAAAGGUUUUCGGAUCGUAAAGCUUUUUUGUAAGGGAAAAAAGGGUGGGAGGGUGGAAAGUUACCCCUGUGGCGGGAUUUUACAAAAAAGGGACGGUUAAUUACGG